rnacentral:piRNA from 1 species
GACAGAGAAUCCCGUUGUCCCCAUAUGCC